rnacentral:rRNA from 1 species
GACGAACGCUGGCGGCGUGCUUAACACAUGCAAGUCGAACGGAAAGGCCCUGCUUUUGUGGGGUGCUCGAGUGGCGAACGGGUGAGUAACACGUGAGUAACCUGCCCUUGACUUUGGGAUAACUUCAGGAAACUGGGGCUAAUACCGGAUAGGAGCUCCUGCUGCAUGGUGGGGGUUGGAAAGUUUCGGCGGUUGGGGAUGGAUUCGCGGCUUAUCAGCUUGUUGGUGGGGUAGUGGCUUACCAAGGCUUUGACGGGUAGCCGGCCUGAGAGGGUGACCGGCCACAUUGGGACUGCGAUACGGCCCAGACUCCUACAGGAGGCAGCAGGGGGGAAUAUUGCACAAUGGGCGGAAGCCUGAUGCAGCAACGCCGCGUGCGGGAUGACGGCCUUCGGGUUGUAAACCGCUUUCGCCUGUGACGAAGCGUGAGUGACGGUAAUGGGUAAAGAAGCACCGGCUAACUACGUG